rnacentral:rRNA from 1 species
GACGAACGCUGGCGGCGCGCCUAACACAUGCAAGUCGAACGGAGCUGAGCGAAGCUUGCUUUUCUUAGCUUAGUGGCGAACGGGUGAGUAACGCGUGAGUAACCUGCCCUGGAGUGGGGGACAACAGUUGGAAACGACUGCUAAUACCGCAUAAGCCCACGAUCCGGCAUCGGAGUGAGGGAAAAGGAUUUAUUCGCUUCAGGAUGGACUCGCGUCCGAUUAGCUAGUGGGUGGGGUAACGGCCAACCAAGGCGAGGAAUGGUGGCCGGAAGGGGAGGUGGAACGGCCGGGUUGGGACUGAGGCACGGACCAGACUCGGAGGGGGGGGUGGAGUAGGGGAUAUUGCACGAUGAGGGAAACCGUGAUGCAGCGGCGCCGCGUGGAGGAAGAAGGUUUUUGGAUUGUAAACUCCUGUCGUUAGGGACGAUAGUGACGGUACCUAACAAGAAAGCACCGGCUAACUACGUG